AUUGAACGCUGGCGGCAGGCCUAACACAUGCAAGUCGAACGAGUGGCGGACGGGUGAGUAAUGUCUGGGAAACUGCCUGAUGGAGGGGGAUAACUACUGGAAACGGUAGCUAAUACCGCAUACCAUCGGAUGUGCCCAGAUGGGAUUAGCUAGUAGGUGGGGUAAAGGCUCACCUAGGCGACGAUCCCUAGCUGGUCUGCGAGGAUGACAAGCCACACUAGAACGUAGACACGGUCCAUACUCCUACGGGAGGUAGAAGUGGGGAAUAUUUCACAAUGUGCGAAAGCCUGAUGCAGCCAUGCCGCGUGUAUGAAGACGGCCUUCGGGUUGUAAAGUACUUUCAUCGGGGAGGCGUUACCCGCAGAAGAAGCACCGGCUAACUCCGUGCCAGCAGCCGCGGUAAUAC
rnacentral:rRNA from 1 species